CCUACGGGAGGCAGCAGUGGGGAAUUUUGGACAAUGGGCGAAAGCCUGAUCCAGCCAUUCCGCGUGCAGGAUGAAGGCCCUCGGGUUGUAAACUGCUUUUGUACAGAACGAAAAGGUUUCUAUUAAUACUAGGAGCUCAUGACGGUACUGUAAGAAUAAGCACCGGCUAACUACGUGCCAGCAGCCGCGGUAAUACGUAGGGUGCAAGCGUUAAUCGGAAUUACUGGGCGUAAAGCGUGCGCAGGCGGUUAUAUAAGUCAGAUGUGAAAUCCCCGGGCUCAACCUGGGAACUGCAUUUGAGACUGUAUAGCUAGAGUACGGUAGAGGGGGAUGGAAUUCCGCGUGUAGCAGUGAAAUGCGUAGAUAUGCGGAGGAACACCGAUGGCGAAGGCAAUCCCCUGGACCUGUACUGACGCUCAUGCACGAAAGCGUGGGGAGCAAACAGGAUUAGAUACCCUGGUAGUCCACGCCCUAAACGAUGUCAACUGGUUGUUGGGUCUUAACUGACUCAGUAACGAAGCUAACGCGUGAAGUUGACCGCCUGGGGAGUACGGCCGCGAAGGUUGAAACUCAAAUGAAUUGACGG
rnacentral:rRNA from 1 species